rnacentral:misc_RNA from 1 species
AAGUCGUAACAAGGUUUCCGUAGGUGAACCUGCGGAAGGAUCAUUAACACGUGUAUUCCACGUAUUAAUCUUUAAACUAACAACUAUACAACGAACCGCUCCCCAGUUGAACCAAUCUCUUAGCUGCCUCAGUAUGGCUGCGCUGGGCUGGGAGUCUUCGGACUCACUGUCACGUCAUACAGAAGCUUGUCACUCCGGUCUUCGGAUUAGAGAGUGUGGCGGUAACCGGUUUGGCUGGGCAUUAAAUUUCUGAGCAUGUUGUCACCAACCAGCUUCGUGGACAUGCAAGGAGAACCCCCCCCGUAUUAACCAUAUUUUACCUAUUUGGCUAAUGUUUGGAUUGCGAGUUGACUUGAGGCUUGCUUCAUAUCAACGGACGGAUCCUACUAAGAUUUAUCUUAACUAAGUACAACUCUUAGCAAUGGAUAUCUUGGUUCUC